rnacentral:rRNA from 1 species
UCGAACGGUAACAGGAAGCAGCUUGCUGCUUCGCUGACGAGUGGCGGACGGGUGAGUAAUGUCUGGGAAACUGCCUGAUGGAGGGGGAUAACUACUGGAAACGGUGGCUAAUACCGCAUAACGUCGCAAGACCAAAGAGGGGGACCUUCGGGCCUCUUGCCAUCAGAUGUGCCCAGAUGGGAUUAGCUAGUUGGUGAGGUAACGGCUCACCAAGGCGACGAUCCCUAGCUGGUCUGAGAGGAUGACCAGCCACACUGGAACUGAGACACGGUCCAGACUCCUACGGGAGGCAGCAGUGGGGAAUAUUGCACAAUGGGCGCAAGCCUGAUGCAGCCAUGCCGCGUGUAUGAAGAAGGCCUUCGGGUUGUAAAGUACUUUCAGCGGGGAGG